AUUGAACGCUGGCGGCAGGCCUAACACAUGCAAGUCGAGCGCACCUUCGGGUGAGCGGCGGACGGGUUAGUAACGCGUGGGAACGUACCCUUUUCUACGGAAUAGCCUUUGGAAACGAAGAGUAAUACCGUAUACGCCCUUUGGGGGAAAGAUUUAUCGGAGAAGGAUCGGCCCGCGUUAGAUUAGAUAGUUGGUGGGGUAACGGCCUACCAAGUCUACGAUCUAUAGCUGGUUUUAGAGGAUGAUCAGCAACACUGGGACUGAGACACGGCCCAGACUCCUACGGGAGGCAGCAGUGGGGAAUCUUAGACAAUGGGCGCAAGCCUGAUCUAGCCAUGCCGCGUGAGUGAUGAAGGCCUUAGGGUCGUAAAGCUCUUUCGCCUGUGAUGAUAAUGACAGUAGCAGGUAAAGAAACCCCGGCUAACUCCGUGCCAGCAGCCGCGGUAAUACGGAGGGGGUUAGCGUUGUUCGGAAUUACUGGGCGUAAAGCGCACGUAGGCGGAUUGGAAAGUUGGGGGUGAAAUCCCGGGGCUCAACCCCGGAACUGCCUCCAAAACUAUCAGUCUAGAGUUCGAGAGAGGUGAGU
rnacentral:rRNA from 1 species